rnacentral:tRNA from 1 species
AAGGGAGACCUAAUUCGGGUAUAAGACGAAAAAAGAGUAGUCGAAACCAAGAAUCAAUCCCAAAAGGUCGGAACGAGGUAUGUGGCUUUCAAACUAGGUUCUGGGUUCACACAAGACCUGAAUCAGGAACAAGGGCUAUUAGCUCAGGUGGUUAGAGCGCACCCCUGAUAAGGGUGAGGUCCCUGGUUCGAGUCCAGGAUGGCCCACCUGCACAGGUGGCAAAAACAAAGAAGCGAGGAAUCAGCACCUUAUCUUAUCUAUACAUAAGAGAGAAUGCUGGCUCUGAGUAAAGAGUCCAGAGGAACCUUGAAAACUGCAUAGAGCUAGGUGAAAAAGCCAAAAAAGAAGACCGCAA